AAAUCCCGCGUCGCCCAACACCUGCCCCGACUGCCCAGCACCACCCCCGACAGCCAUCACUCAGUCCAACGCCACCCCCUGCCGCCCAUCCCUCUGUCCUGCGCCGCCCCUCGUUCCUCCUCUGUCGCCACUUGAAUUUACACAUCCCGUGUCGCCCCAGCACCCGCAUCGCGUCCCCUGCCCAGCGCCACCCCGCAAUGGCCAUCCCUCGGCCCAGCGACACCCAACGAUGGCUCUCAAAACCUGUUGCGAUCUCACAAGAACGUUUGUCAUGCCUUCUAGGAUGUGUAUCAACCCAAUACAUAAUAAGAAAGGAAUCCUGCAUCACUCUGUUAAUGCAAGUUUAAAGGAAAGAUUCAAUGGAAGAUUAUGUUGAGAUAGUGUGAUUGAGAAGCUGCUUCAUGUUACAAAGGAAUUAGAACCAGAAUGUGCCCAUAUUGAUGCUGUGUAACUCAAUGGAGAUUUUGCCAAGUCAUGGAGAUGAUGAAGACAUGUGGAGAUGCACUUGCUGUUGCUUGUGUAGAUUCUAGGCUAGGAGUUUGGACCUUGGUGUGCAAACACUUGUUUCUUUGUGGGGAUGUUGUACUGUAAUUUUUGUACAGUUUGUUGAUGCUAUAAGUUGGCCCAUUUUAUUGUGUCAAUGCUUGCACAUUCUUGACACCAGCAAAUUAGGGUGGUUGCACUGUUAUGUGGAUGGCAAAUCAUAUUUAUGGUUGUUAUGUGAGCAGGUUGUCAUGCAUUUCCAAAUUGAUUGCACAAA